rnacentral:rRNA from 1 species
AUUGAACGCUGGCGGCAGGCCUAACACAUGCAAGUCGAGCGGAUGAAGGGAGCUUGCUCCUGGAUUCAGCUGCGGACGGGUGAGUAAUGCCUAGGAAUCUGCCUGGUAGUGGGGGAUAACGUCCGGAAACGGGCGCUAAUACCGCAUACGUCCUGAGGGUGAACGUGAGGGAUCUUCGGACCUCACGCUAUCAGAUGAGCCUAGGUCGGAUUAGCUAGUUGGUGGGGUAAAGGCCUACCAAGGCGACGAUCCGUAACUGGUCUGAGAGGAUGAUCAGUCACACUGGAACUGAGACACGGUCCAGACUCCUACGGGAGGCAGCAGUAGGGAAUAUUGGACAAUGGGCGAAAGCCUGAUGCAGCCAUGCCGCGUGUGUGAAGAAGGUCUUCGGAUCGUAAAGCUCUGUAAGUUGGGAAGAAGGGCAGUAAGUUAAAACCUUGCUGUUUUGACGGUACCAACAGAAAAAGCAACGGCUAACUUCGUG